rnacentral:rRNA from 1 species
CAGCCGCCGCGGGAAUACCGAGGGUGCGAGCGUUAAUCGGAUUUACUGGGCGUAAAGCGUGCGUAGGCGGCUUCUUAAGUCGGAUGUGAAAUCCCUGAGCUUAACUUAGGAAUUGCAUUCGAUACUGGGAAGCUAGAGUAUGGGAGAGGAUGGUAGAAUUCCAGGUGUAGCGGUGAAAUGCGUAGAGAUCUGGAGGAAUACCGAUGGCGAAGGCAGCCAUCUGGCCUAAUACUGACGCUGAGGUACGAAAGCAUGGGGAGCAAACAGGAUUAGAUACCCCCGUAGUCCCUGUCUCUUAUAC